AAAUUUUACAAUGCACGAAAGUGUGAUAAAGGAACUCCAAGUGCGUAUACACUGUAUACGCUUUUGUUAAGUGUAAACAGCUUGACGAAUAAGGUCUGGGUAAGAUCGGUGCCAGCAACCGCGGUAAUACCGGCAGAUCAAGUGGUGGCCAGUUUUAUUGGGCCUAAAGCAUUCGUAGCCGGUUCAGUCAGUCUUUGGUGAAAUUGCCGUACUUAAUAUGGCAGCGUGCUGAAGAUACUACUGGACUUGAGAUCGGGAAGAGGCAAGGGUAUUCCUUGGGUAGGGGUAAAAUCCUAUAAUCCUUGGAGGACCACCUGUGGCGAAGGCGCUUGUCUUGAACGAGUCUGACGGUGAGGGAUGAAAGUUGGGGGAGCAAACCGG
rnacentral:rRNA from 1 species